CAGUCGCCGCGGUAAUACGUAGGGUGCAAGCGUUAAUCGGAAUUACUGGGCGUAAAGCGUGCGCAGGCGGUUUGUUAAGACAGAUGUGAAAUCCCCGGGCUCAACCUGGGAACUGCAUUUGUGACUGGCAGGCUAGAGUAUGGCAGAGGGGGGUGGAAUUCCGCGUGUAGCAGUGAAAUGCGUAGAUAUGCGGAGGAACACCGAUGGCGAAGGCAGCCCCCUGGGCCAAUACUGACGCUCAUGCACGAAAGCGUGGGGAGCAAACAGGAUUAGAUACCCCAGUAGUCCCUGUCUCUUAUAA
rnacentral:rRNA from 1 species